GCGCUGCCCUGGCGCGUCCGCGGGCUUGGCGCGGGCCGGGCCGUGCGGGCCGCGGGUGUGCUGACCCCUGCGAUUUCCCCAAAUGCGGGAAACUCGACUGCAUAAUUUGUGGUAGUGGGGGACUGCGUUCGCGCUCUCCCCUG